ACGGAGGGUGCAAGCGUUAUCCGGAAUCACUGGGUUUAAAGGGUGCGUAGGCGGCCCGAUAAGUCAGUCGUGAAAUCGCUGGGCUUAACCCAUGCAAUUGCGAUUGAUACUGUUGGACUUGAAUGAGGUUGAGGUAGGCGGAAUGUGGCAUGUAGCGGUGAAAUGCAUAGAUAUGCCAUAGAACACCGAUUGCGAAGGCAGCUUGCUGGGCCUUCAUUGACGCUGAGGCACGAAAGCGUGGGGAGCAAACAGGAUUAGAUACCCUGGUAGUCCACGCCCUAAACGAUGUUUACUUGCUGUUUCUGGGCAACUGGGAGUGGCGAAGCGAAAGCGAUAAGUAAACCACCUGGGGAGUACGCCGGCAACGGUG
rnacentral:rRNA from 1 species